AAAGCGCAUGCUUUUUGUUGAAAAACCAAGGUGGUAUGGGAUGGACCCGCGUCUGAUUAGCUGGUUGGCGGGGUAAAGGCCCACCAAGGCGACGAUCAGUAGCCGGCCUGAGAGGGUGGACGGCCACAUUGGGACUGAGACACGGCCCAAACUCCUACGGGAGGCAGCAGUGGGGAAUAUUGCACAAUGGGGGAAACCCUGAUGCAGCGACGCCGCGUGAGUGAGGAAGUAAUUCGUUAUGUAAAGCUCUAUCAGCAGGGAAGAAAAUGACGGUACCUGAGUAAGAAGCCCCGGCUAACUACGUGCCAGCAGCCGCGGUAAUACGUAGGGGGCAAGCGUUAUCCGGAUUUACUGGGUGUAAAGGGAGCGUAGACGGCAGUGCAAGUCUGGAGUGAAAGGCGGGGGCUCAACCCCCGGACUGCUUUGGAAACUGUUUGACUGGAGUGCAGGAGAGGUAAGUGGAAUUCCUAGUGUAGCGGUGAAAUGCGUAGAUAUUAGGAGGAACACCAGUGGCGAAGGCGGCUUACUGGACUGUAACUGACGUUGAGGCUCGAAAGCGUGGGGAGCAAACAGGAUUAGAUACCCUGGUAGUCCACGCGGUAAACGAUGAUCAAUAGGUGUCGGUG
rnacentral:rRNA from 1 species